CCAUAGUGCAUCCUGGUGCCAGGUGUUCCCCAGGUGAGAACAUUGUUCAUCAUCCAAAUCUGAAUCAGGUGUUCACAGUCGACCCUGCUGCGCCUCCCGUCGAAGAAACCACCAGCCAAGAAACCUACGGAACACAAGGAAUCGAUACAAAGUUUUUCAAGGACGUACGAUGGCAGAAGUCAAAUCUACAAAUGGAUUCUGUAUUUCUAGUUCUGUUGGCUAUGACAAUGCACUUUUUUUUUACAGUUGACCUUAAAUGUUACAUUACACAGUGUCCCUGGUUUGUACCUUUCCUCUGUGUCCAAGAACUGACAGUUCUCGAACACUCCUGUUCUUUUGUUUGGUUAAUAAUGCACCGUUACAACUCUAACCACCAGGGUUAGAGCUGCCAUGCCAGAGCCCACAAAUGAAUCACAGAAAAGCACUAAAUCAAAGAUUGCAACACAGAAAGAGACACAAAAUACUGAAGACAUGCCAAAGACUGGGAGUCUAUAGUGCAUGUAUGUAGCUAGGUAAAUGAAAGCAUGACAUGAACUUUGAAUGGUAAAAACCAAAUAUCCAGUUGGCACCAGCAACACAGACUAUCAAAGGCAUGAUAGAGGCAUGAUCGAGGAAAUGCAGGCGUGUGUGUGUGUGUGUGUGUGUGUGUGUGUGUGUGUGUGUGUGUGUGU